GCCUAGUUAGCUUAGUUGGUAGUGCGUCUGCCUUGUAAGUGCUAGACCGCGGGCUCGAUUCCCGCCCGGGGCG
rnacentral:tRNA from 1 species